rnacentral:rRNA from 1 species
GCUUACCAUGCAGUCGAACGAUGAAGCUCUUUCGGGGGUGGAUUAGUGGCGAACGGGUGAGUAACACGUGGGUGACCUGCCCUUGGCUUUGGGAUAAGCCCUGGAAACGGGGUCUAAUACCGGAUAUGACAUGUUCCUGCAUGGGGGUGUGUUGAAAGUUCCGGCGGCUGAGGAUGGGCCCGCGGCCUAUCAGUUUGUUGGUGGGGUGAUGGCCUACCAAGGCGACGACGGGUAGCCGGCCUGAGAGGGCGACCGGCCACACUGGGACUGAGACACGGCCCAGACUCCUACGGGAGGCAGCAGUGGGGAAUAUUGCACAAUGGGCGAAAGCCUGAUGCAGCGACGCCGCGUGAGGGAUGACGGCCUUCGGGUUGUAAACCUCUUUCGACUCCGACGAAGCGUGAGUGACGGUAGGAGUAGAAGAAGCGCCGGCUAACUACGUGCCAGCAGCCGCGGUAAUACGUAGGGUGCGAGCGUUGUCCGGAAUUAUUGGGCGUAAAGAGCUCGUAGGCGGUUUGUCGCGUCGGCUGUGAAAUCCUGGGGCUUAACUCUGGGCUUGCAGUCGAUACGGGCAGACUUGAGUUCGGUAGGGGAGACUGGAAUUCCUGGUGUAGCGGUGAAAUGCGCAGAUAUCAGGAGGAACACCGGUGGCGAAGGCGGGUCUCUGGGCCGAUACUGACGCUGAGGAGCGAAAGCGUGGGGAGCGAACAGGAUUAGAUACCCUGGUAGUCCACGCUGUAAACGUUGGGCGCUAGGUGUGGGGAGCAUUCAUGUUUUCCGAGCCGUAGCUAACGCAUUAAGCGCCCCGCCUGGGGAGUACGGCCGCAAGGCUA